GGGUGCGUAACGCGUAUGCAACCUACCUAUAACUGGAGAAUAGGUCCCGGAAACGGGAAUUAAUACUCCAUAACAUUCUUUUUCCUCAUGGAUUUUGAAUUAAAGCUCCGGCGGUUAUAGAUGGGCAUGCGUAACAUUAGGUAGUUGGUGAGGUAACGGCUCACCAAGCCAACGAUGUUUAGGGGUUCUGAGAGGAUUAUCCCCCACACUGGUACUGAGACACGGACCAGACUCCUACGGGAGGCAGCAGUGAGGAAUAUUGGUCAAUGGACGCAAGUCUGAACCAGCCAUGCCGCGUGCAGGAUGACAGCUCUAGUAGUUGUAAACUGCUUUUAUUUGGGAAGAAACCCUCCUAUGUAUAGGGGGCUGACGGUACCAUUUGAAUAAGCACCGGCUAACUCCGUGCCAGCAGCCGCGGUAAUACGGAGGGUGCAAGCGUUAUCCGGAUUUAUUGGGUUUAAAGGGUUCGCAGGCGGAAUAUUAAGUCAGUGGUGAAAUCUCCCGGCUCAACCGGGAAACUGCCAUUGAUACUGGUAUUCUUGAGUGCAGUUGAGGUAGGCGGAAUGUAUCAUGUAGCGGUGAAAUGCAUAGAUAUGAUACAGAACACCGAUUGCGAAGGCAGCUUACCAAACUGUUACUGACGCUCAUGAACGAAAGCGUGGGGAGCAAACAGGAUUAGAUACCCUGGUAGUCCACGCCGUAAACGAUGAUUACUCGUUGUUGGCAAUACAUCGUCAGCGACUGAGCGAAAGCAUUAAGUAAUCCACCUGGGGAGUACGAUCGCAAGGUUGAAACUCAAAGGAAUUGACGGGGGCCCGCACAAGCGGAGGAGCAUGUGGUUUAAUUCGAUGAUACGCGAGGAACCUUACCUGGGCUUAAAUGUAGAGGGACCGGUGCCGAAAGGUGCCUUUCUUCGGACCAUCUACAAGGUGCUGCAUGGUUGUCGUCAGCUCGUGCCGUGAGGUGUCGGGUUAAGUCCCAUAACGAGCGCAACCCCUAUCAUUAGUUGCCAUCAGGUUAAGCUGGGGACUCUAAUGAAACUGCCUACGCAAGUAGAGAGGAAGGUGGGGAUGACGUCAAAUCAGCACGGCCCUUUACGCCCAGGGCUACACACGUGCUACAAUGGCCGGUACAAAGGGCAGCUACCUGGUGACAGGAUGCUAAUCUCCAAAACCGGUCUCAGUUCGGUUCGAAGUCUGCAACUCGACUUCGUGAAGUUGGAUUCGCUAGUAAUCGCGCAUCAGCCAUGGCGCGGUGAAUACGUUCCCGGGCCUUGUACACACCGCCCGUCAAGCCAUGGAAGUUGGGAGUACCUAAAGUCCGUAACCGUAAGGAGCGGCCUAGGGUAAAACCGAUGACUG
rnacentral:rRNA from 1 species